rnacentral:sRNA from 2 species
GCAGAGUCGCUUAUUCUCCCUUCUGAAUUGAAUUUCGAAGAGCCUUUCCACAGUGGCGCGGCCUAAUUUCCCCUCAGGGGGCUGGCAGGUGGCAAGGGGCAUUAUACACUGAUUUUAAAUGAUGAUUCGAAGCGACUUGGUAAGCUCCGGGCGGGUUAUCUGCGUUAAGUCUGGCAGCGGUUCAACGAUCAUCCGAGUGGUGGUUCCGGUAUUUGCGUGUGUCUUU